rnacentral:rRNA from 1 species
AUACGGAGGGUGCGAGCGUUAAUCGGAAUUACUGGGCGUAAAGGGUGCGUAGGCGGCUUGAUAAGUCGGAUGUGAAAGCCCCGGGCUUAACCUGGGAAUUGCAUUCGAUACUGUCAGGCUAGAGUAUGUCAGAGGUUGGCGGAAUUCCUGGUGUAGCGGUGAAAUGCGUAGAUAUCAGGAGGAACACCAGUGGCGAAGGCGGCUAACUGGGGCAAUACUGACGCUGAGGCACGAAAGCGUGGGGAGCAAACAGGAUUAGAAACCCUGGUAGUCC